rnacentral:rRNA from 1 species
CAGCCGCCGCGGUAAUACGUAGGUGGCAAGCGUUGUCCGGAAUUAUUGGGCGUAAAGCGCGCGCAGGCGGUUCCUUAAGUCUGAUGUGAAAUCUCGCGGCUCAACCGUGAGCGGUCAUUGGAAACUGGGGAACUUGAGUGCAGGAGAGAAGAGCGGAAUUCCACGUGUAGCGGUGAAAUGCGUAGACAUGUGGAGGAACACCAGUGGCGAAGGCGGCUCUUUGGCCUGUAACUGACGCUGAGGCGCGAAAGCGUGGGGAGCAAACAGGAUUAGAUACCCUGGUAGUCCACGCCGUAAACGAUGAGUGCUAGGUGUUAGAGGGUUUCCGCCCUUUAGUGCUGCAGCUAACGCAUUAAGCACUCCGCCUGGGGAGUACGGCCGCAAGGCUGAAACUUAAAGGAAUUGGCGGG